AUGGCCAUACCAUGCUGAAUAUACCGGUUUCUCUUUUUGAUCACCGAAGUCAAGUAUCAUUGGGCGCUGGGUCAGUACUUGGGUGGGUGACCACCUGGUCACACCGCGUGCCGU